ACUUAUUAAUUUAAUUGAUUUUUUAGAUAUUUUGUUUUAAUUGAAAUAGCAAGGAUUUUAUUAUUGUAAAAGAACCAAUUAGUUUUAUUUAUAGUUAAAAGUAUAGUGAUAGAACAUUUGAAAGUUAAAAUAAGAAGGUUUUAUUUCCCGUACCUUGGGUGUCAGGGUUUACUAAAAAAAGUUAUCUAUAUAAGUUUCUCGAAUUAUAAAGAGCUAUUAAAAUAUCAGAAUUAUUGUAGAAUAAAUACCAUUAAUAUUUUAAUAGAAGUGAAACGUUAUUCGUUUUAUAAUAUAUCUAGUUGCCUGGGAAAUAAAUUUAAUUUACUAUUUAUGGUCAUUUGAAUUAAUUUUUAUUUGAAUGAGAGAGGAUGGGAAUAGCUUAAGGGAUGAGCUUUAGGCUAAAAUUUUAUAAUGAUACAUAAUUUAAAUAGAAAAUAGGAUUAGAAUUUUCCGCUUUUAAUUAAUAUGUUGUAAUUAACUGUUUUGUUUUAAUUAUUUGUAUUUCAUUUAAAUUUUUUACUAGGUAAAGUUCUUUAAUUUAAAAGGAUUAGUUAUAAUGUUAAAAUUAGUAAAUUUGCAUGUAUAUCAAAGGGUAAGGAAAAGGUUAAGGUAAGGAACUCGGCAAAUCAAUUUCCCACCUGUUUAAUAAAAACAUGUCUUUUUGUUAAUAAUUUAAGGUCUAGCCUGCUCCAUGACUAAGUUAAAUAGCCGCAGUAUUUUGACUGUGCAAAGGUAGCAUAAUCAUUAGUUUUUUAAUUGGAAGCUGGAAUGAAGGGCUGGAUGAGGAAGUGACUGUCUCACUUUAAUUUCAUUGAAUUUUAUUUUUAAGUUAAAAAGCUUAAAUUUAAUAAAAAGACGAGAAGACCCUAUAGAGUUUAAUAAAUACAGGUUUUAACUAUGAAAGGUUUAAUUGGAGUUAAUACUUGAUUUAUUUGGUUGGGGUGACAUAAGAAUUUGCUAAACUUCUUUUUAUUAUGACAUUGAUUUAUGGGCGUUUGAUCCUGAGUUUUGGAUUAUAAGAACAAAUUACCUUAGGGAUAACAGCGUAAUCUUUUUGGAGAGCUCAAAUCAAUAAAAGGGAUUGCGACCUCGAUGUUGGAUUAAAGUUAAAUUCGGGUGCAGAAGCUUGAAUUUUGAGUCUGUUCGACUCUUAAAACUUUACAUGAUCUGAGUUUAAACCGGCGUGAGCCAGGUUGGUUUCUAUCUUUUAUAGUUAAAAUAUUUUAGUACGAAAGGACCAAAUAUUUGAAUGAUAAUUUUUAUGUUUGAAUAUAAUU
rnacentral:rRNA from 1 species